rnacentral:lncRNA from 1 species
AGUAUACACUAAAUAAAUUAAAUAUUCAAUAAAUUUAAAAAAUAUGUUUUUUUUUUACGGUAAAUUUAAAAAAUAAGUUGUUUCAUAUAAAAAUGACUAAAAAAGUACUUGCUAACAUUUAGUCACAUAUUUUUUUUAUAACAGGUUUAGUCACAUUUUUAAUCAAUCCUCAUUUGCACUCUAUUGACUAUUGACCAUAAAUAUGAAAAGUCAAAAGCAAUUAUUUUGGUUCUUAAAAUGUACAUUGAACUUGUAAACAAGUAUUCGGUAAUUUUUUUUUCUUUCACCAUCGGUUUAAUCUGGUUCGAGAGUCAAUUCUACUAUCAAGUAGUUUCAGCUCCUCCCGAUCGUGGUCCUCCCUACCAAGUUUAGCGUCAAUCACCACUGAAUCAACUAACGAUUGGUAUAUUCGGUGACUUUUUUUCUUUAGUAAUAUUAUGAACUAAAUUGACAAGCGAAAGAUACAUUUGAAGAUAAGUUAAUUAUUUAAAAACAAAUUUGAUAACUAUAGUCUAUAAUUGUUCUGUUUAUUUAUUACAAAAUUGAUAAAUUUAUGUUUGGUGUCAUAUAUAGGCUCCUCAAAAAGGACAAAUUGGAGUGACCUUAGUGACUCACUUCUUUGAACCAUAUUCCAAUAGUGAUGCUGAUCGCAAAGCUGCAAGUCGAGCUCUAGACUUCUUCUUUGGAUGGUAUGCAUAUUCCAUAUCUUCGAACAAAUUUAGAGGAANNNNNNNNNNNNNNNNNNNNNNNNNNNNNNNNNNNNNNNNNNNNNNNNNNNNNNNNNNNNNNNNNGGGGGGGUAGGAAAAAAAAAAAAAAAAAAAAAGUGAUAAAAAUUUAUUUGGUACACAAAUUAAUUGAACAUUAUUAAUUUUUCAGGUUUGCUCAUCCAAUUACCUAUGGUUACUAUCCCGAAAUUAUGGUAUCAUUAUUAGGUAAUAGACUCCCCAAAUUCACAAAGGAAGAAUCUGAAAUUAUCAAAGGUUCCUAUGAUUUUCUUGGUGUAAAUUAUUACUCCACAUAUUAUGCACAAAGCAACAAACCAGCAUAUGUCAACCAGACCUAUUACACUGAUAUGCAAGCAACUGUCUCUCGUAAGUAUAUAUUUAUAGAAAAUUUAUAGAAAAAUAAGCCAUUAUAAAAUAUUUUCUAUUGCAUUUUAAUAUUGAANNNNNNNNNNNNNNNNNNNNNAGCUGCAAUUUUAGUUAACAUAUAAUCAUUCUCAAUAUUAUAGUAAAUCAUAAACAAAUGCGACCUAUGACACUACGAUAGUUAAAUUGUGACGCAUUUGUGGAUAUCUUCAAAUUUUAUUAUUCAAUCACAAUUGCGGUUGUGAACUGCAAUUUAAAAUCAUAUUUUUAUUUUGUAUAGAUAUUAUUUAAAGUGUAAAUAAUAUACUUAAAGUAAUGAAGCAAAAAUUUAUGAUUGUGCAGACAGAUUUGAACUGGCUCUAUGUCUAUCCGAAGGGAAUUCAUGGUCUUGUAACACACAUAAGAGAUGUAUACAAGAAUCCACCGGUGUACAUUACUGAAAAUGGUAACUAUAUGGUUAUUAUUUAUGUUUAUAUUUUUUUUAUUAGCUAAAGAAAUAUAGUCAUUUACCAAUAGGAUUUUGAUCGAGUAAAAGCAAUAUGUCGUCAUAAGGAGGAGAAUUAGAAUUUGAUGAACUAAAGUUUGAAUUCUUGUGAGUUUAGGAGGCAUAGAAUCAAGGGGUCNNNNNNNNNNNNNNNNNNNNNNNNNNNNNNNNNNNNNNNNNNNNNNNNNNNNNNNNNNNNNNNNNNNNNNNNNNNNNNNNNNNNNNNNNNNNNNNNNNNNNNNNNNNNNNNNNNNNNNNNNNNNNNNNNNNNNNNNNNNNNNNNNNNNNNNNNNNNNNNNNNNNNNNNNNNNNNNNNNNNNNNNNNNNNNNNNNNNNNNNNNNNNNNNNNNNNNNNNNNNNNNNNNNNNNNNNNNNNNNNNNNNNNNNNNNNNNNNNNNNNNNNNNNNNNNNNNNNNNNNNNNNNNNNNNNNNNNNNNNNNNNNNNNNNNNNNNNNNNNNNNNNNNNNNNNNNNNNNNNNNNNNNNNNNNNNNNNNNNNNNNNNNNNNNNNNNNNNNNNNNNNNNNNNNNNNNNNNNNNNNNNNNNNNNNNNNNNNNNNNNNNNNNNNNNNNNNNNNNNNNNNNNNNNNNNNNNNNNNNNNNNNNNNNNNNNNNNNNNNNNNNNNNNNNNNNNNNNNNNNNNNNNNNNNNNNNNNNNNNNNNNNNNNNNNNNNNNNNNNNNNNNNNNNNNNNNNNNNNNNNNNNNNNNNNNNNNNNNNNNNNNGAGCAAAGUCAACAUAAUAAAAUUAGUUGUUCGAAAAAUGUUUCUUAAUUUUUUUGUUUUCAUGUCUUUAUAUUAUUUUAUUUUGUUUACUAUGAUUAUGAGUGAGUAGACCUCUUAGUUUUGGAAUUGGAUAUCAGGCGAUGGACCGAAAGAGCGAAAGGUGAAGCUUUGAUAUUGGCAUAUAAGAUUUGAUAACCAUAUGAUUAUAGUUGCACAUUUUUAGACGUUAAUCUAUGGACUGGAAGAUGAAAGUUGACGUCAAACAUAUAAGAUUAAUUAAUUGGACAAGAGAGUCAAAUUAUGAAAAUAGUCUAAAUUUUCUUGAGAUGAUAUAGGGUAAUCAAUCUUAAUGUGAUUUGUCAGUGAUUCCGCCAUAAAAAUAGAAUGUUUUGUUAGUUCAAAUUACAUUUUUGCAAAUCUGAAAGGAGACAUUUGAUACAUUAGUUUAUCUCAUCUUUAAACCAUUAAUUCUCGUAACAAACAAGAAUUGAUGUUGUAGUUUAUAUCACUGUGACGAAACCACGAUCCUAUAAUACUACUAAAAGAAAUAUAUUAUAGCAUAUUUUUUAAACAAAAAUUGUUCCUACGAAUUAUUAAUCUUUUAGCUAAUCACCAUAGUUAAAGAGAUAUGUACUCGAUACAAAGUCCUUGAGAGAUUGAUGCUUUGCAUUAUGCUAUAAUACCAUGUUUACGGGCUUAUCAUUUACAAACUAAGUAUUUGAGAGACAUUUCAACUCAACAAAAUAUGAUGCAUCUCUCACAUUUUUUUUACACUUCCACAACUUCCUUCUUUUUACAACUCAAUUUCUUUUGUAAUUUUUUAGACAAACUUGUCAAAUUUCCCACAACUUGAAAACCCCACACUAUGCAAAAUUAAUCACAAAAAAAAUUUCAAGGCAAAUCUCCUCCAUUCCCUAAAAUUGAAUAGGAACAUAUCAUUGUUUUUUUAAUCCGAAUUUGCUACAUUAAUAAAAUCACACAGUUUCACGCAGUUUCAAUCUCAGCCAUUGCUUCUUGAUCGGACGGAUCUGAUCAAAUCAGCUAUAAAAUCCAUCAAAAUAAUCACAACCAUACAUAACAGAUCGGACAGUCCACAAUCAAAACUGUGUGAAAACUUUGUGGAAUAUUACAACAGGAAAUCUGCUUCCGUUUUUUUUACUUUGAAACUAGAUAUAAAAUAAAGAAAGGAGAUUAACAGAGGAGAAUUAUUUAUGUCUCUUGGGAGGUGACAUAUAGUAUUGGACAGACUUUUAUUACCAAAUGUUUUGGCCAACCAAUUUCUCUCAAGAUUUGUUUUAAAGGGGCUUUCGAGUUUUCAAUAUUGUAACGUCCUAACCCGAAUACUCGUAUUAUCCAGUUUUAUAAGAGGAUUGUCUUAAAAUUUUGCAGCGGAUAAAAAUACAACUUUAUUGAUUAACAAUUGAGGAUGGAAAUAGAGGAAUAUUAUGAAUUAUAGGGUGUUACUAAUCUCAAAUUACAUUGCUAGAAAUUUAAUUAGCAUACAUGUGCGUUAGAUAAAAAUUCUUUUCUAGUGGCUUAUACAUUUUUAUGUCUUAACCUAGACAAUAGAAAUAAAAUUGAAAUACUAUACACCCUCCCUAUGUGUCCAAAUCAGAACGAGACUACACCGGAUCACGAACACCAAUACGCGACACCUGAGAAACUAAGCUCCCAAGUGCCCAGUCAAAUAACAGGGUAAGUUUAUAUUUAUGAGUAAUAACGGACAAAUAAACAAAGUAUGAAAAUACAUCAUUUAGAUUCAUACAUCACUCGUAAUAAAUUCACCAUCAUUAUCUACAAAUCCACAAAAUAAUUUCAAAUGCACAAUUCACAACAAGUACACAUUCUCAAUCAGAAAUGCAAUGAAUCCCUAAAUGCAAUCUAAUACAUGUGGUACCAAGUUUUUGGACGUCAGAGUUAUUAUACUGAACAAUUCCUCUCCAACACUGAGCCGAAGCUCUAAUCUUCUUCACCGAGCCGAAGCUAUACAUGUUAUGAAUGUAUGCAUGAACACAUGACAAGUAAACACACAACAUUUUGUUACUCAUCUCAUUACACCAUCAUCAUUGUCAUUUGAACACCAGAGAUCUUUUACUGAUAUAGUUCACACCACAAACUCUCCACCAAUUUAAUUUCAGAGAUAUAUUACCGAAAUCUAACACACCAUUGCACUUAUAAAUUAUUAACAUCAUCAAUAAUCAUACACCAAUUUACAAAUUAUCAAUUAGACAUCGUAAACUUAAACUCACCAAUACACCAUCAACAUAGUCAUCAUUUAAGAAAGACAUACCAAUCAAACAUACCAUUUACGAUUCAUUCGUAAAUCAUCCUUUUAAGAUUAGAUAACUAAUUUAGCUAAUCAUAAACUCCCCUCAAUCACAUUCUCUAAUAUUUCCUAAAAUUCUUAAUUAUUAGUUACUAAAUUCAUUUUAUUUUCAAAACAACUUCUCCUAAUUAACCACUAAGUUUAAUUAUGAAAAAUAGUGAUAUAAACUCCCCCUAAACUCGUAUAAUAGUUAGGAUUAAGUAGUCUAAAGAUUAGGGAUAAAAAAGGAUCAACGAAACUGCACCACAACACAAGACAACACAGUAAAAGGCCACCUGGGCUGCCAAAUUCGCCUGGGCCGAAACAGGCUUCACAUGGGGCAGAAAAGACAGAGCAGGAAGCAUGUGUUGGACUUGGAAAGCUAAGGAAAUGACAGACAGUCUGCAGAAUUUUGAGGUUUUGAACUACUCACCGUAUAGACCAUAAGUUGAGCUACGAGUAUCCGAUUGAGGCACGUAAACAUGUGUUGGCAUAUAAAAAGACAGUUUUUAGGAAAAUAGCUAAGGAAAAUAGCUACAACUUUCACGUUGACGACAAAAGGCAAUUUGUAUCGCAAAAGGUUCAAAAAUCACGUUUUCACUCUUCAGACUCUAUAAAAAGACAGUUUUUCUUAUACUACAAAAAUCCAAUCUUUGAUUUUCCAAAAACUCAAGUUAAUUCCAUUAAACCAAAAGCAUCACCGAUGAUAUUUGAAGCUUAACAAACAUCAUUCCAACUACAAUCAACACCAAAUCAUCAAGAUUCAUCAUUAAUUCAUGAAAUCAUAUAAAAACUCAUUUUUCAAGCUAAACCGUCCGAAAUCAAAGAAUGAUACGGAUAUUGAGAUAAACCCGGCACAAUAAAGACAGUAUGAGACCGCUCUAGGAAUAAGUCUUGUUGAAAAUUCAAAGCAACCCAGAACAAUCAAAAGCCAGAUCGAGGGAUGGUCAAUCAACGGACUCUUAUCACCACGAACACAAGAAUCACCUAAAAAACCCGCAACUCAUUAGCACGAUGAACGACUACAACUGUCAACACAGAAUAUCUAUGCACUUAGCUCUUUCGAACAUUAUUAGGCCGAAUCAAGUCAUGAUGAAUUCGGAUCGUGGGAAGCUUCCAACAAAACAACGCACCUAUUUUUAUUUUUAUUUUUAUAAUCAAAAUAAACUCUUUUUUGAUAAAAAUGUUGAACAUAUUGAAGCCGCCAAAAAGGCAUCAUAUGAAUCAACACAAUCAUGUUCUCUGCUCUGUCGGUCGAUGAAAAAUAUAUAUACAAACUAAAGGACAUGAAAUUCAUGAAAUUGUCCCUCUCCUAGAAUGAGACAAAUCAUCACCGAUUGUAUGUUCAUUGCAAAUUCUGAAGCACCGAAGCAACAAUUAUGCACUGUCUAAAAAUAUUAUUGCAUUUCUUUUCCAAACAAAUAAGAACGACAAAAUUAGAUAGCAUUAUAGCAAUAUAGCAUGCACUUUAAUAUUACAGAGAUGGCAAACAAAUUUAGAGAAGUACUCCAAAAGGGACCACAAAACUUACAAUAAAAGAACAAACCAAGACAUGAUNNNNNNNNNNNNNNNNNNNNNNNNNNNNNNNNNNNNNNUGGGGCUAUUUUGCAUUAUUAGUAAUGGUAGAUGAAAUGUCUAAAUUAGAGAUGGGAGCAAAAGGACAUUCUAGUGGCUGGACCAGUGGAUUUAUACUGGGUUUGUGCCUAAAUAUUUGUUUUUUUGGGUUGUGCCCAACUAAGUAUUUUCCCCAAUUGCAUUCACUUCUUUUAUGUUUUUUUAUCUGGUCAAGUUUUCUCCUCUGCAUAUAUUGUACGAUGUCUAUGUCAACUAAGCUAAGCUCACAUGGACGAUAUUAAAUAUCAUUUCAUCCUUAUCAAAAUAUAAGUCGUUUUGAUCAUGUGUAUUACACAAAUUAAGAAAUGUAAUUAAUGCUAUAUGGAAAAAAGAAAAAUUACUCUAUCAGUUAGUUUACAAAAUUGUCGUUCAUUAAUAGUAUGAGAAACAUAGAUUGAAUAAUUGAAAUUAAAGAGAGUAAUAAAUAUUACCUUCGUCCAUAAUUAUAAGACCCUGUUUGACCACUGCAUGUAUAUUAAUGCACAAUUUUGAUCACUAAUAUCUUUAAUCGUCUAUAAGUAAAAAUUAUUAAAACUCAAUACUACCUCCGUCCUUAAUUAUAAGACCCUGUUUGACAAAAAUGAACUACUCUUUUACCUUGUUUUGACCGUAUUUUUUUAAAAAUAUAUAAAUGUAAAUAUUAACAUAUAAAAUCUUGUUCAAUUUGUUUUGAUGAGUAUUUUCAAAAUAUUAAAUUUUUAUAAUUUUUACCAAUAGACAAUUAAAAAUAUUAGUGAUCAAAAUUGUGCAUUGGCGUACGUGCAAUGGUCAAACAAGAUCUUAUAAUUAGGGGCGGAUGUAGUAUUUUGAAAAUACUCAUCAAAACAAAUGGAACAAGAUCUUAAUUAUAUGUUAAUAUUUACAUUUAUAUAUUAUUAAAAAAAUAGGGUCAAAACAAAGUAAAUGAAUAGUACAUUCUUGUCAAAAGAGACUUAUAAUUAGAGACGGAGGUAGUAGUUAAAUGUAUAAUAGUAAGUGCUUCAUUGGUAAUAGUAAAUGUUUCAUUGGUAAUAUUGUAAAACGGCUUAUAUAUAAUUUGGUACAAAUUUUUAACUCAAAGCGAAUUAUAAUUUGAAUCAUUUGAUAAGGAGGAGUACUAACUACUAAGUAUAUACUUUUUUAACUAAAACUAUUUCCAAUAAGCUAAUUAAAAAAAUCACGGUCCACUCUUUUGCAUUUAAAUAGAUGUGAGUACUACAUCUUUAGACAUCAAAAUCUACAAACUACAGCCAUGGGAGCCAAAGGUCCUCCCCAUCUCUUUCUUUUAUCUCUGGCUACCCUUUUGGCUGUUGUCACUGCAGGAACCACUGCAUCACAAAAUGUGCAUCCAAGUCACUAUGCUUCAACAUUCAAUAGGACCCUUUUUCCAAAAGAUUUUCUAUUUGGAAUUGGUUCUUCUGCUUACCAGGUUCAUAUCAUUGAAUUUGAAGAGAAUUAUAUUUCCAUAGUUUGUCUUAUAUUUUCUUUCUAUUUAAUUAACACCUACAUGAUUUUUUCAACUCUUUGUUAACAAUUUAAAUCAACACAAAUUUUACAAACUAAUUGCUGAAAGUGUUUUUAGAAUUUUAAAAGACCCCAACUUUCCUACAUUAUUUUGUAAAAAAUUUGGUAAGGCAUUAUCAUUACUUUUUUUUUACUUAAAAGAUGGUCGUAGCAUUUCAUUCGUAAUAAUAUGAUUGAUACAUGUCGGUACAUCAAUGAAAAUAUUAGAGCUAGCUAAAGAUGUGGCUAUCAUUGCAACUUGUAUCCUACCAACUCAACAUGAGAGUUUUCAAAAUACAAACUAAAAACACAUUUACAUUCAUUCAAUAUAGAACCAAAUUCUGUAACAUCGUUUUGGCCUUUGUGAAAAUGAUCAACGGCCUUAUUAUUACUUAUUAAUGAUAAUAUGAGUUAAACAUUUUACACAUGAAUUCACAUUUUUUUAAGAGUUCCACAUUAGUUUAAUAAUGCUCUGACAUGCAUUUUAUGAGUAAUGACAAUUUUUACUUUAUAAAUCGAUUUUGUAGGCAAAUUUUAAUAUGGAUCACCUCUUCAAGUGGUCCAUGGUAUAUUAGUCAUGAAUAACAUUAUAACGAAUAAGAAUUUCACAAAAUUCAUCGUUGGAUUGAAGUUUAUAUUAUAUAGAUUAUUCAUAAAAUAAAAUAAAAAAUUGAAAAAUUGAAAAUAAUUUGAUAUGUUAUUGAGACACAUCAAGAUUAAUCAUUGGAUUGAUACCGUUAAUCUUAUAUUUCUCAAUAACAUAUCAAAUGAUUUUCAUUUUAAUUUUUUUUAUGGAUGAUCUAUAUGAUAUAAAUUUUCAAUCCAACGGUAAAUUUUAUAAAAUUUGUAUUUGUUAUAAUAGUAUUGAUCACCGGUCCACGGUGGACCACUUAAUUAAGAAGGUGGUACACCAUAUCAUUGGCCAAAUUUAACUUAAAUUUUAAUAUUGUAUAAAAAUUUAUCUAGACUAUUGGAUCCCAUGUUACUCAGUACCAAAAUGUAAGUCGUUGCUCAUAUUACACAAAUUAAGAAAUGUGAUUAAUGUUGUAUGAAAAAGAUAAAUUAUGAGUUAUUUUACAAAAUUGUCCUUCAUUAAUGGUAUGAGAAGAAUAAAUUGAAGAGUUGAAAGAAGAAAUUUUUUUUUUUGAGGUUAACUAGUUAAGGGUAUAAUAGGAAAAAGAUCAUUAAAUAUUUCAUUGAUAAUGUAAAAUUACUUAUAAUUUGGUACAAUUUUUUUUCUCAAAAUAACUUACAUUUUGGUACGGAGUGAGUAUUUUAUUGGAUGUACCAAAAUUAUUGGGAUCCGGAUUGUAUGGAAUCAAAACUGCAUCCAGUCAAGACAGAUCUAGCCAUCCGAUUAUGAUCGAACAUUCUAGAUUAAAAAAAAAAAUUAAUUAGACUGCAUAACUGUUUUAAAUUUGGACCGUCUAAUAAUAAUCAAACGGUCAAAUAUAUCUUGUACGUAUAACUGCAUGCAAUUUUCCCUGUAUGCAAUUUAAAUCCCAAUUAUUGCCACUUCAAAACUCUUUUGUAGCUAGAUGUUGAUCAGACCUGUAUUGCAUCUGUCAUUUCCUCAAUUUUGGUUAAUUAAAUUUAUGUCACAGUCACAAAUAUCAUUUUUGUUGUUUUGUUAAAUAUUUAUUAGGUAGAAGGAGCUUCAAAUAUAGAUGGGAGAGGACCAAGUAUAUGGGACACUUUUACUAAAAAACAUCCAGGUUACCAUAUUUAUUAGUAUUUUUUUUUCUAUCUAUUUAUCCAUUUUUUGAACUCAUUUUAAAAGAAUUAAAUUUCACCUCUCUCUAUCUUUGAUUGAGCAGAUAAGAUUUGGGACCAUAGCAGUGGUAAUAUUGGAUCAGAUUUUUACCAUCGAUACAAGGUACAGUUGCUGAAAAUUUUCAAAUAUUAUUUACUUUUUCUUUCUAGAAAAAUAAAUGAUUUCUCCCUCUGUUAAAAUUUUCUUUUUUAAUGUAACGAAAUUUUUUUUGUCUUUUUAAGUUUUUAAUACAAUAUUAUUUGUUCUAAAUGUAACUUUAAUUCCAAAUUAUUGUUUUCGACUUUAUAUUUAUGACAAUUAAAAUAUAUUAAUUAAUAAAUAAAAUGGCUAAUUAAUAAAAUCAUCAUUAAAUUUAUUUAAGGAAUUGAUUUCAUCUAAAAAAAUAUUUUUAAAUACAUAUUGGUCGUAGAUCGAAUUCAAAUACCGGUUAAAUAAUUCAAGCAUCUACCACUUACAUUACAUUACACUUUAGUUAUAGAAAAAGUUAAUAUAUAUACCCUUAAAACAUUUGUUAGUGAUAUCGUCAUCGAUAUCUGAAUCCGCGUGAAAUACAGUAGUUAAAUACUAGUACAUUGAAGUACAGAAUUUGUUGACCAAAAAAGUACAGAAUUUUAAAGAUCAACUUCAAUUAUUUUGCAGAGUGACAUUAAGGUGGUAAAACAAAUUGGGUUGGACUCGUACAGAUUCUCUAUCUCAUGGUCAAGAAUAUUCCCAAGUAAGAAUUCACUCACUAUUCUCAAUUUCACGUUAAUUCGUACCCAAAAAAAUAAAAUGAAAUUGUCCAUAACGAAUUUCAUUUUAUUAUUUAUUAUAAAAAANNNNNNNNNNNNNNNNNNNNNNNNNNNNNNNNNNNNNNNNNNNNNNNNNNNNNNNNNNNNNNNNNNNNNNNNNNNNUGAUUUCAUAUGCAGAGGGCAAAGGUGCAGUCAAUCCCUUGGGAGUUAAGUUCUAUAACAAUCUCAUUGAUGAGAUCCUAGCAAAUGGUAAAAAUCUCUUAUAUAUUCUCACUGAAUUUAACUAUAAGUCUAUAAGGAAUUUUUUUAUGUCCAUUUUUUUUUUAAACAAAAAGAUGAGAAGCAAAGAGCUACCUCCUCAAAACAUAAAAUAUAGAAGAUGCAAAAAGAGAUUACAAAAAAAAGGAGAGGGACUAGGGCAAAACCUCCCUAAAUAUGCACCACCCUAAAGAAGGGUUUACCAAGUCUAUUCGCCUCAAAACUAUCUUUAAUCACAAGAGGUACAUCAUUCCAAAUAGUAAGCCUAUCUAAAGUGAGACCUAUAUUAACUAAACUAUCAGCACAAAAAUUUCCUUCUCUAAAAACAUGAGAGACAACGAAGUUCAUCGACUGAGUGAGUAAUAAACAAUUAAUCCAUCUGUUUCUUAAAGCCCAAGGGACUAGCGAAGAGGAUUUAAAGGCCUUGAAUAAAAUCUCUGACUUUACUGGGAAGCCAAAUCAAGACAUCUGGGUGAACAUUUUGAGAUAAAGUCAAAGGUUCUCCACACCAAGAAUCACUCCAAAAAUUUAUAUCGUGACUAUUUCCUACUUUCCAACAAGAGUUUUCAUAGAUGACCUGAACUUCUUGCUUCAUACUACUCCAAAUGGAUAAGUAUACAUGAUGGUUAAUCGCAAUUCCCUUUCUCAUCACUCUAAAUCUCAAUAUUUUUGCCCAAUCUUUAUCUGAGUGCAUCAAGUCCCAGCACAAUUUCAAAUUUGAUGCAGCAUUCAAAGAUUUUAAGGAUCUCAAGCCUAAACCUCCUUCAUCAUAAGGAGCACAAAUUUUUUUAUGUCCAUUGAAUAAAAUAUGUAGUUGAAUCAUAAAUAGUCCAGAUAUAUAUUUUAUUUAAUAAACUUAAUUUUUUUUGUUUUUGCAUAUAUAUUCAAAACUGGAUGGAGUAAUUUACUAUUUAGUUUAUUCUUAAUAUUAAUUAAUUCAUUAUUUCUCAACUCUGCCUUAUAUAUGAACUCAUUUUUUGGCAUGUAUUAUGGCAGGCUUAAUACCCUUUGUAACUCUGUUUCAUUGGGAUCUCCCACAAAGUCUUGAAGAUGAAUAUAUGGGAUUUCUAAGCCAUAAAGUCGUGUAAGCGACAAUCUAUUUCCAAAUCACACAUUAAUUUGGGGUGAAUAAAAUAAUUAUGAUGCAUUAUCGGUGUAAAAUUGUUUUCAACAAAAAAUAAACAGAAUUAAUUAUAUAUGUUACUUUUAAUUAUUUGACGAUUAAUUGAUGGUAAAAAAAUGAUUUGACAAUUAAUUGAUGGUAUAAAAAAUCUUUACAAAGAAGUAACUUAAUUAUUCUUAAUUUAAUGGAGAAAACAGGAACGAUUUUGAAGAUUAUGCUGAGUUUUGCUUCAAGACAUUUGGAGAUAGGGUUAAAAAUUGGGCAACACUUAAUGAACCUUUUUCCUUCACCAUAAAUGGAUACAUGGGUGGCACAUUUGCACCUGGUAGAUGUUCUAAAUGGGUAGGAAAUUGUGAAGCUGGUGAUUCAAUAAGAGAGACUUACAUUGUUGCUCAUAACUUAAUACUUGCUCAUGCUGCUGCAGUUCGAGUCUACAAGAGGAAAUAUCAGGUAAAUUAUAGGAGGGAUACAUAGCAUGUAGUGAGCAAAAUCUAGAUUGUCCAAUUAAGAUCGAACGGUGAGAUUUUAAAGCCAAAUUUUUACUAUUUUAAAAAAUUAAAUCUGCAAAAAAAUUUGUACUGUCGAAUUUCAAUCAAACGGCUAUUGACUACCGACUGCAGCUUGCCUGCAUGGUUAACGACUACAUUGGAUCCAAUUCCAUUAUAGGAGUAGUAAAUUACUAUUAAUGUUGUCUUGAAAAUAUAUGUCAAUAAUAAUAAGGAGGCUCAAAGUUUAAAGGUAAUUAAGUAAGUUUAUAAAUCCUAGUUCAACCGAUAAAAAAUACUAAAAUUGUUAGGUUGGAUGUUACAAUUAGAGUUCUAACCCCGACUUCUUCACUUAUGUGUGUGUGAAUUUAUAAUGACUUUGUCAUUACUUAUAUCUAUCAAAAAAAUAAAUUCAAAGGUGUGUGUUAUAAAAAAAAGUUCGAAGGUAUGUUCUUUGUAGAUAGUUCCAUUGAUGAAUUAAGCAACAAAGUUUUAAGAAAAAAAUUUAAAGUUCGAUCUUAAAAACUAACAUAGUUACUAUUAUUUCCGCUCUUUUUUUAUAAAAAAACAAUUGAAUUUUUAGAUUAAUUGAAUAAUUAAUAUUUCUAAUUUAUAAUACACGCUAAAUAUAUUAAAUAUACAAUAAAUCUAAAAAAUGAGUUGUUUAUUACUAUAAAAAUGACUAAAGAGAAUGAAGUACUCCUUUCGGCCUUAUUUAUAAGCUAAAUUGUGUUGUUUCACACCUAUUAAAAAAUUGUUAUAUUUAUUAAAAUAUCAUUUAGAAUACAUUAAAUUUACAAUAUUGAAACUAUGCAAUCAUCUUAAAAAGUAACACAAUUAAUGAGAGCUAUUUUUGGAAUAAUGAGGGACAAUGUUUAACAUUUUCAUUAUUAUUAUUAUUAUUAUUAUUAUUAUUAUUAUUAUUAUUAUUAUUAUUAUUAUUAUUGUUAUUAUUAUUAUUAUUAUAAUUAUUAUUAUUAUUAUUAUUAUAUUGAUAAAUUUAUAUUUGGGAUCAUACAUAGGCUCAUCAAAAAGGACAAAUUGGAGUGACCUUAGUGACUCACUUCUUUGAACCAUAUUCCAAUAGUGAUGCUGAUCGCAAAGCUGCAAGUCGAGCUCUAGACUUCUUCUUUGGAUGGUAUGUAUCUUCGAACAAAUUUAAGCUCUGUUUUACAAAGUUAAACUCUUAUCACUAACAUGAUGCACGAAUAAUUGAAAUGUGAUAAACUUUUAUUUGGUACACAAUAUAAUGUAACAUUAUUAAUUUUUCAGGUUUGCUCAUCCAAUUACAUAUGGUUACUAUCCCGAAAUUAUGGUAUCAUUAUUAGGUAAUAGACUCCCCAAAUUUACAAAAGAAGAAUCUGAAAUGAUCAAAGGUUCCUAUGAUUUUCUUGGUGUAAAUUAUUACUCCACAUAUUAUGCACAAAGCAGACCACCAACAAAUACCAACCAGAACUAUUACACUGAUAUGCAAGCAGAAGUCAGUCGUAAGUAUAUAUAUUUAUAUAAAAUAUUUUCUAUUGCAUUUUAACAUUUUACUAAGAACACAAUUAUUGAAUUUUUCUUUUGAUCACAGCAUUGAGGAAUGGUGUAUCUAUUGGUCCUUCGGUAUGAUUUUUUUUCACAACAAUUUCUCUAAUUUUUUUUCUGUUUUGUGGUUGCAAUUUUAGUUACCAUGUAAAUCACAAACAAAUGCGACUUAUGAAACUACAAUAGUUAAAUUGUGACGCAUUUGUAGGUAUGUUCAAACUUUAUUUUUCAAUUACAAUUGCGGUUGUGAAUUGCAAUUUAAAAUCAUGUCAUAUAAAUUAUAUUUUGUAUAGAUAUUAUUAAAAGUGUAAAUAAUAUAAUGUUUUAGGACUUUUUCUACUUAAAGUAAUGAAGCAACAAUUUAUGAUUAUGCAGACCGAUUUGAACUGGCUCUAUGUCUAUCCGAAGGGAAUUCAUGGUCUUGUGACACACAUAAGAGAUGUAUACAAGAAUCCACCAGUGUACAUUACUGAAAAUGGUAACUAUAUAGUUAUUUUUUAUGUUUAAAUUAUUUUUAUUAGCUUGUAAAUAAAUAUAAGAGACAUUUACUAAUAGGGUUUUGGUCGAGUAAAACCAAUAUGCCAUCAUAAGGAGGGAGAAUUUGACGAAUUGAAGUUUGAAUUCUUGUAGAGUUUAGGAAGCAUAGAAUCAAGCAGUCUGGUAAAUCCUAUACAAUAAGACGAAUCAGAUAUUAGUUUUUAAAACAUCCAAAGGAUUGAAGCCUUGAAAAUACCCUAAUAGAGAAAAAUGUGUGCCAAUUCCGGUGCUUUUCAAAUAAAAAAUUAUGAUAGAUUGUGCAAUAAGUAAUGUCAAGUAGUAUUUUUUUUUUGGUCAUAAAAAAAAAGUAGUACUCUUUUUAACACACUUAAUGUUCAAUUGAGUGUGUGAUAAUAAUUAAUUUGUUUGCUAAAUAUAUUUCAGGUAUUGCUCAAAAUAGGAAUGACUCAAUUCCAGUCAAUGUAGCUCGUAAAGAUGGCGUAAGGAUUAGAUAUCAUGAUGGCCAUCUCAGAUACAUCCUUCAAGGAAUAAAGUAUGAGUUAAACAAUUUCCUCUGACAAAAUAAUAAAUAAAUAAAAAUUUGGACAGGAUUUUGAAAAAUUAUUUAUUAAGAGUUUAAUGAAUACGCACUAAAUUUUCACGGUUGGCUAUUUCAAUUUUACUAUUAUACACUCUUUGGUUAUUAUGAUAAGUAAUUUAUUUUUAAAAUAAUUAUUAAAUAACUAAUAUAUUUUAUUUAAUAAUCUAAAAAUGAUUUUUACAUGAUAUAUUAUUUUAUAAAAUAUUUCAACAAUUAUUUACAUGAUUAAAUUUCUUUUUCUUUGCAGAGAUGGUGCAAAUGUAAAAGGCUACUAUGCUUGGUCAUUUUCUGACAGUUAUGAAUGGGAUGCAGGCUACACCGUACGAUUUGGAAUCAUUUAUGUGGAUUUCAAAAACAAUUUGAAAAGAUACCCUAAGUACUCUGCUUUUUGGCUUCAAAAGUUCCUUCUUAAGGGAUAACUCAAAUGUGUUGUUCAUUUGGCAUUCCUAAGAUGUUUCUCUUUGUGGUUUUUCCAAUAUCACCUUAGUAUGUUCUUUUUGGCAUGUUGAAAUGAGUAAGUCAACAUAAUAAAAUAAGUAGUUGGAAAAAUCUUUCUUUUGUUGUUUUCAUGUCUUUACAUUAUUUUAGUUGGAAAUAAUUGUAGAGCUUUUAGUUUUGGAAUUGUGGAAGAAAUUAAAUGAGAGGAUUUUCAUAAUCCGAAUUCUCUCUUUAUGGGCUUUGAUAUCUUUUAAUUCAAUCUUAUUGUUCUUCUUGUGUGUAACCAUAGAAAUAUAGUUAUCUAAUCUUAGAUAUCAAGUGAUGUACCAAAAGGUGAAGCUUGAUAUUGGCAAAUAAGAUUAGAUAACCAUAUAAUUGUAGUUGCACGUUUUAGACGUUAAUCGAUGGAUUGAAAGGUACAAGUUGACAUUAAACAUAUAAGAUUGAAUGAGAUAGUCAAAACAUGACUAUAAUCUAAAUUUUCUUGAGAUGAUAUAGGGUAAUAAAUCUUAAUGGGAUUUGUUAAUGAUUCCGCCAUAAAAAUAGGAUGUUUUAUCAGUUCAAAAUAGAUUUUUGUAUCUUUGAAAGUAGACAUUUGUUACAUUAGUUUUUUUUUUUUGUUACAAUUUGAUACAUUAGUUUAACUCAUCUUCAAACCAUUAAUUCUCAUAACAAACAAGAAUUGUUGUUGCGGUUUCUAUCAUUUUGAUGAAACCACGAUCCUUAAGACUUUUUCCCCCUUCAUAUUGUUGCAUAAUACGACAAAUUGCAUAUGCCUUCAAAUUUAAAUAUGACUAUAUUGGAGUCUUCGGAAUAUUUAUGCCUCCGGAUUUGUAGCGUUGAUGACACCAAAGUCGACAUUGAUUGAAUUUGUACUAUAUCGGAAAUACUUCUUCAACCUAAAACAAAUAAACACCGCACAAAGACGAGACAAAACAAAACGCCGCACAAAGAUGGGAUAACAAAAUACAUCGUUCGAAGACGGAAAAUCAAAACAAACAAAUAUUUGAAAAACACAUAUUUAAAUGAAAAUAAAAGGAAAAACAAUUUAUAGAGUGAUUUUGGAUAAAGAAUCGACCCAAAAACCACCAUUCUUUGAUGGAUGAAGAAAAGAAUAAACUAAAGUUGAGAAAAGGGGGAGGCGGCUGAGCCUGAGACCGAGAGAGUGAGAUGUAUUAUCAUUUACAAAUUAAAUAUUUGAGAGACAUUUCAACUAAACAAAAUAUGAUGCAUUUUUCACAACUAAAUUAAGAAUAAUCUCUAAAACAAAAUUUUACAAAAUUUACAAACUUUAAAGUUUAGUUUUUUUAAAAAAAAAUUAUUCAUUUAUAUAGCGUUCACGAAGAGAACUAGGGUUCGUACUAGGUUGAAUUUAACAUUUUAUAAUUUUUUAAUUUUUUUAUUACCAAAAUAAAUAUUAUAAAAUUCUAUAUAUUAAAAUGUCGAAAAUAAUUAUGUUAAAUGUGUUUUAGGAUACAAAACUAUUUAUUAAAUCAAUUUAAUCAAUUCGUUUAGUAUUUUUUUUUUUAUUAGUAAUAAAGUUGAAUGGUCUAAUACUCGAUGAAAUAAUAUGAAAAAAUAUUUGUUCAAAAAAAUCAAUACUUUAAUGGAUGUCAUUUAUCUCAAAGAGAUUUUUCUUCACAAUUGGGCAUAUAGAAUAUAUAUUUGGUAUAAAAGAAAAAGAGAACAAGAGUAAAGUGGGGUGUUUGGAUUAAAACUGGAGUUGACAGAUUUCCAAUGUGUAAAACUAGCGGCCCAAUUCACAACGAUUAGGUUUUCUCUCAUGUGGGCCGGGCUGAAAUGUAAAUAACACAGCCUACACUUUUGGAUGGUUUCUUUUCCCACCCUCCAAAUUUCUCUUUUCGCGCAACACGCAGAAAACUUCGGAAAAUAUUUUCUGAAAUAUUUUCUUUUUAGUGUAAAUUAUCGUAAAAACAAAAAUUCGAAAAAUGCUUUCCGAAAUUUUCUGCGCGAAAAGAUAAAUUUGGGGGUGGAAAGACAAAUCAUCCUACACUUUCUAGUUCUAUUCCAAAGAUGGAUACCAAAAAAAACCAUUGUGCUUAUUUUGAUAUGCUCAUAUUAUCUACUUGUUUUUUUUUGACAGACUUAUUAGCUUCUUGUUAUUUGUCACAUAAUGUCUAAUCUUCAUUAAUGAGAAUGUUUCUGCUAUUAAAACAAAGAUAAAUAAUCUCAAUGGAUUGAGUUUUUUUAGAAAGAGAUUAAAGUUUCACAACAUAAUAAUUAUAAAUUACUCUUUGAAUCUCAGUUGAUAGAUGUUUCCACAUAUUACCUAACACUAAAAGCACCUAGAAUAGAAUCACAUAUAGUGGUAGAACCUAUGAAGAAAAAAAAACCAGUUGUUUGUUACUUCAUAGAAAUAUAUUUUUAAUUCAUAUAUUAUGGCACCAAAUGUAUACUUCCUCUAUCUCUAAAUAUAUUUAAAAAGUUGAUAUAUUUAAUUUAAAAUUAGAUUUAAAUACAUCAAAUUUUUUUGCCAAUUGUUCCAGUUUAAAACACAAUUGCUUUACCCCUGAUGAAGAGUGUUUGCCUAAAGUUUUGAGCGAAUGCUUAAUGAGUAGUAGUAAUUAGGCCCUUUACCCGGCCCCUUACCCUAAAGGUAAAUUCUCGUUAUAGUGCGACAAAUUUGGGACUUUUUCUUCCCAUGGACCCCAAUCAUUAUAAGACCCAAAUCGAUAUGAGCCAUGGAUCCCAAGAAACAUCUUAUCCAAGCUGAAAAUGAUACUACAUCUAUCUUUCCUUUGCGUCAUAGCUCGACCACCUAGUCCUUAAUGACUAGGUGUAGGGAUGACCCCAUCCGUUUGUUCCCUCGACUCUUGUUAUAUUUUUGACUCGACCGUCCCCCAAGUUCUCAGGUUCUUUUCAAGAGUACCAAUCUCCGAGCAUUGUACACUCAUUUUUGUCUAUAUUUAAGACCAAAUAAUGUAUCCAAGACUAUGCUCACAUUAAUGAUGUCCGAUCCUUGGAUUCCUAAGAUUCAAAAUCUAGCCGAAUGAAGUUUUAUUUAAUUUAGCCUAAUUAACUUCCUAGGGAAUUUCAAAGAUAUAUCCAAAUCUAUACUAGAGGAUUAUUCUGAUCAAUAACAGAACAGGACUAAUCCAUUCACAUGACUAACUUCCCAACAUACAAUUCGUGUAGAUCUCUAUGAAAUUAUAUACUUUACUUCACCUCUUUGAAUAUAUUAAUUUGCAUGCCAUGUGAUGAAGUGCAUUAUUUUUAAGAUUUUCAUUCAAACAACUUGGUGGUGGCCUAGGGGUGCAGUUUGUGGUAUUUUGGUGUGUGGAUAACAAUUCAACACACAUUAUUUUCUUAAAAUAUACUCAAAGUAAAAUAUUAUGCACUAAUGAGAAUUGCAUAUUCAGUACCUAUAUUGUGUUAUCAUAAAAAAAGAGUAAAUUGACUACUUUUUACACUACCAAAAACCCAUGGUACUAUAGCCAUUAAUAGUUCAACCCAAUUAAACUACUAGCUUGUACAAUACUCCUUUCUUAAAUUAUGCAAAUUUUAAAAGUUUCUAAACCUUUCUAACCUUUCCUACCUAAUUAAAAAGUUAUCAUGAAAUUAAUUUCAAUAUCACCCUAUUGCAGUUAUAUGUGUUGAAAAAGACUCAUUCCCCUCUCUAUUUAAUGGAGAUUUUUAAUCUUAUCGAUUUAUUACUCAUGAUUUUGACCUAUAAACUACUUUUUGGUUUACGGUAGAGUCAAUGAAAAUCGAACAUAUGAUUUCAUGCAUACUAUCCAAACAUCUUAUACCAGUAUAAUUAAUGUAUUCAUUAUAUAUAUGUGAAUUUUGUUGAAAGAAUCGACAUACUCAUAAUAAUAAACAACAUAUAAAUAUAAGUAAUCAAAUAGUAAGUGUUUAUAAUUAUAAAUGGAUGGAAUAAUAAUAAUAAUAAUAAUUGAUUAUUAUUAUUAUUAUUAUUAUUAACACAAAUCUCCAAACUUGAAAAUGAAGAAUUGAAGAUAACUUUUAAUAGUGAUAAUUAAAGAAUGUGGCUCUCUUCUCGAUCUGGCAUUCUAUUAUUCAUUCAAAUUUUUAGCAAAUUUUUAAAACAAGGUCCACUAUAAAAUUUCUUCUUAUGUAAGCAAAAGAGAAGCAUUUUUUCUACCAUGCCCUCCUUUUUAUUUUGGGGUACAAUCAAUCUAGCAUGCCACUUUUACUCAAAAACAUACCAAUUAAUUAUUAUAUGAUGACAGAUCAAACGUUUUAGCCAAUAGGGCUUAAGGAUUCCCGUGGAGUGCAAAUUUGAUGUAGGAGGAUUUCUUCGGUAUUUUAUUAUUUUAAUUAGAUUUAAUUAUUAUAUUUUAGGUAGAUUUCUUAUUUUUAUAUUUCACCUAGAUUAGUUAUUUUUAUAUUUUAGGUAGAUUUGUUAUUUUUAUUUAGGUAGGUUUGUUAUUUUUAUUUUUACAAUUUUUUUAGAAGAUUUGUUAUUUUUAUUUUUCACUGCUAUUUAAGGUAAACUAUUAUAGCCUUAAAGGAAACCUUUUGAUUCAAUAAAAUUAUAGAGAAUUUUGUCAAAUUUGGUGGAUUCCAAAUUAAUUACUUUUCUGGUGGAUUCCAGAAAUUUGGUGGAUUCCAGAGCCUUAUUGACAUGUUUGUCGCUUGCGAAUCUAUGUCCAUUUAUAGGAUCAGCGAUUGCUUUUCGUUCACGCUUCCGUACUGUGUCAAAAUUCAUCAUCAGCAAAAGUAAUCUUUUACAAUAUACAUAACGGCCUAGCUGAAUCGGGACAGUAUGGACCUUGUAGCGCCGGCUGAAGCGAGCAAGUCUGAUAGCGGAAGCGGAUGAACCAACACGAUAUAACAAGGGCAAGAGAAUUAGCUCAAAGGUCUUGUGAGGUGUAAUGUGGAUGAUUUUCCAAGAGCAGAAUUGUUAUGGUGCCGUGCGGGGAUCAAAACAAAAAUGGAGAAUGCCGCAAUGGAACAACACAUGUGUAGUCUGACUGCGCGCCAGCUAGCGCUAUAUUUUUAUGUGCAAUCUUUCGAAGAUUUGCUUGAAGAAUUAUUUCGUGGUUACUUAUACAACAAGGCGCACAAGGUCUAUUAGUUUUUGAAGGCAGCCGAACUCUAGUUCUAUUUUCUAAAGGAAUGAAAUAACUUUAGAAAAUAUAUUAUUUGUUUCAAAAAUAUAUCUGCUGCAGCCGCAAUUCUAGAAGACCUAAUUCUGACUUGAAGGCCAAGCUAUUUCACAGCUAUAAAUACAAAGGCAAGCAUAUGAUUCUGAGCAUCUAAAAUCGUGGUAUUACAAAACGUGUGUUUCUUAGGGUUAUUAAAUAAUGUAAACUUUCACUAUAUUUAAUAACUUUUAAUCUGCGUAAAAAAAAUAUUUAAUCAAGUAGUUUUGUUUUGAGAGGUCGCACGACCCCAUCCAUAUAUAAUAGAGGUUUGUUAUUUGAACAUCAAAUUUGAGAUAAAAAAUUGACAUUUAUCCUUUCUCUACUCACAAGCAUGCAAAUCGAAGUAUGAAAAAAUAUUAAAAAAACAAAAAGGUAUAUUUAUCAAAUUGAAUAACAUUUUCCUAUAUAAUAUGCAUAUAUAGCCUUGGUACCUAGAAUCAGAACCCAAAUUCAGAACUGUGAACAUAUACACACUAAUAGGAGUAGUACACCCACUUUCACCUAAGUAGUUAAAAUAUUUAAUUAAAUUUGUUAAAAUAUUAGUGGUUAGUAAGCUAUAACUAGACCACCCAAAAUCACAUAGUAAGGUGAACUAAAGCUAAUAUAAUAUUAUUAUUAAAAAGAAAACUAAUAUCAUAUUAUUUUUGAGGUGUAAAUUAUUAUUAGUCAAUUGAUAUAGUUAAGAAGUAACAAUCAUUGUUUAUUUCUAAAAUCAUCUUUUGACAUUUUUGUCGAUUCUAGGUAUAUCUAAUUUGUUCAAUUAAAAAAUUACUAAUUAACCCCACAAAAGAAACCUGUACCUGUCCAGUUUAUAUUGAUUAGAUAAUUAUUAAAUUAAUGUUAGCAUAAGUUAACAAAAUAUAGUAAAUAAUUACAGUAUAACUAUUCAAAUAAAAGACUUAGCAUUAAAUAAUACAAUUUUUAUUUUAUAAAAGUUUUGAUUGAAUAUCACAAAAAAAAAUUAUUAUAUAAAUUCUUUAAAAUCUUAAUUCAAUACACGUAUGCGGUUAGUAUUCAAAAAAUUGACUACAACUACAAAAAAAAUUAUAUCUAUAUCAGACUCUUUAACAUGUGUCCUUAAGUCAUAUGUUAAGAGAAUCGCUUCUUUACAAGAGCACUUAGAUAAGAUGGCGUGAGUCUCUUCUAGCUUAACCAAAGGUCCUGGAUUCGAUCUCUGACUUGGACAUCCAGCCGUGUUAAAACUCUUAGGAAGAGUUUGCCAUUCAUUUGAGUUCCACAAAGCUUAAUAAAUUAGUCUAUACAAUUGCACACAGAUGAUACUCAGUUUACAGAGAAAAACCAGAUAUUCCAACUAUUGAUAACAAAAUGAUUAAAGCAAAUAGGUUUUAAGAAGAUACGGGCCUUCAAUAAAAAAGCUGGGUUUACUUGUACUUGUGAUAAAAUAAAGAAAUAUAUGGAAUUUUUUUUUUUGUUUUUACCAACAGUUUAAUCUGGUUCAGGCGUCAGUUUUGGCAUCAAGUGGUUCCAACCCCCUCCCGGUCG